UGAAUACGAGACGCUAAGGCGUCGAAGUAGUGUAUGUCAUACUUCCAAGAAAAGCUUGCACUGUCAUAAAUAAAAAUGCCUGUACCAUAACCGACACAGGUGGGUAGGUAGAGUAUACUAAGGGGCGCGAGAUAACUCUCUCUAAGGAACUCGGCAAAAUAACUCCGUAACUUCGGGAGAAGGAGUGCCUUAUUCUUAAGGUUGCAAUAACAAGAUCCAAGCAACUGUUUAUCAAAAACACAGGUCUCCGCUAAGUCGCAAGACGAUGUAUGGGGGCUGACGCCUGCCCAGUGCCAGAAGGUUAAAGAAGUUGGUUAGCUUUUGCGAAGCUGAUAACUGAAGCCCUGGUGAACGGCGGCCGUAACUAUAACGGUCCUAAGGUAGCGAAAUUCCUUGUCGGGUAAGUUCCGACCCCACGAAAGGCGUAAUGAUUUGGAUACUGUCUCGGAGAGGGGCUCGGUGAAAUAGACUUGUCUGUGAAGAUGCGGACUACCUGCACCAGGACAGAAAGACCCUAUGAAGCUUUACUGUAACUUGAAAUUGAAAUUGGACUUUAUUCGCGCAGUAUAGGUGGGAGGCGUUGAUUGUAAUCUUGCGGGAUUAUUGGAGCCAUCAGUGAGAUACCACUCUUGUAAUGUUAGAUUUCUAACUUUGUAUCAUUAUCUGGCCAAAGAACAGUUUCAGGCGGGCAGUUUGACUGGGGCGGUCGCCUCCUAAACGGUAACGGAGGCGUACAAAGGUUUCCUCUGAACGGUUAGAAAUCGUAUCUAGAGUGUAAAGGCAUAAGGAAGCUUGACUGUGAGACCUACAAGUCGAGCAGGGACGAAAGUCGGUCUUAGUGACCUGACGGUACUGAGUGGAAAGGCCGUCACUCAACGGAUAAAAGUUACUCUAGGAUAACAGGCUGAUCUCCCCCAAGAGUUCACAUCGACGGGGAGGUUUGGCACCUCGAUGUCGGCUCAUCGCAUCCUGGGGCGGUAGUACGUCCCAAGGGUUGGGCUGUUCGCCCAUGAAAGCGGUACGCGAGUGGGUUCAGAACGUCGUGAGACAGUUCGGUCCAUAUCCGGUUUAGGCGUUAGAAUAUUGAGAGGAGCCUUCUUUAGUACGAGAGGACCGAGAAGGACAUACCUCUGGUGUACCAGUUAUCGUGCCAACGGUAAACGCUGGGUAGCUAUGUAUGGAGUGGAUAACCGCUGAAAGCAUCUAAGUGGGAAGCCCACCUCAAGAUAAGUAUUCUC
rnacentral:rRNA from 1 species